rnacentral:rRNA from 1 species
GACGGAGGGUGCUAGCGUUGUUCGGAAUUACUGGGCGUAAAGGGUGCGUAGGCGGCUGCUCAAGUCGGGUGUGAAAGCCCGGGGCUCAACCCCGGAACGGCACCCGAGACUGGGCGGCUCGAGACCGGGAGAGGUGGGUGGAAUACCCAGUGUAGAGGUGAAAUUCGUAGAUAUCUGGGGGAAUACCGGUGGCGAAGGCGGCAUCCUGGACCGGCAUUGACGCUGAUGAGCGAAAGCUAGGGGAGCAAACGGG